rnacentral:lncRNA from 1 species
GUAUCUGAGGUCCAGUAACCCUGAGAAAUUUAAUAUGAGAAGACACCAUGAAUGAAAUAUUAAUAUUUUAAAAUCAAGUACAAAGAGAAGAUUGCCUGUGAGUGGUUAUUCUCUUCAGUUGUCCAAUAGCUGUUAUUUAUCAAAUUAACACCAAAACGUUCAAACUCUCUAAAAAUGAAUAGCUUUGCUUUAUAAGGAGAGUUGUGAAAACUUAUUAAGAACUCCUGCACACAUUAUUUAAAGAUACCAUUUACACGUGAGUGUAAUUAUAAAUGAAAUAUAUUAAAUGUCCGAAAGUAGCACCCUGUGGCAGAAUUUUCAGGAAAAGAAAUCGAAUUAGUACUGGAAGAAGACAUUCAAAUAAGAGAACCACAUUUUCAAGACUCCUGCCCCUGCCACGAGAACACACCCUUUCCAGUUUGCUGGAGAAAUAUAAGAGAAGUCCAGUGAAAGAGAGCUGAGUUUCCCCAAUGAUGCCAUCAAGAUGAACUAACUACAGUUAACCAGCCAGCUGAUAGCAGAUGCAUGAGUGAGCCCAGCUGAGAGCAGGUGAAACUGAAAUUGGCUAUAUCAUUUGAAACUUCAUCUGUGAAGUCCCUGGUGGUUUCCUAGAUGACUUCACAGUUGAGUUGCCUCUGAUUGGAAAAGCAGUGUUUUUGUUUUUCAGUUUGUACAAGAGGAGGAAGACGCAUGAUAUGUGUUUGGCUCAUGUGCCUGAAUAUGGCUCCACAGGGAAGACU